rnacentral:rRNA from 1 species
AACGAACGCUGGCGGCAUGCCUAACACAUGCAAGUCGAACGAGACCUUCGGGUCUAGUGGCGCACGGGUGCGUAACACGUGGGAAUCUGCCCUUUGCUUCGGAAUAACAGUUAGAAAUGACUGCUAAUACCGGAUGAUGUCGAAAGACCAAAGAUUUAUCGGCAAAGGAUGAGCCCGCGUAGGAUUAGGUAGUUGGUGGGGUAAAGGCAUACCAAGCCGACGAUCCUUAGCUGGUCUGAGAGGAUGAUCAGCCACACUGGGACUGAGACACGGCCCAGACUCCUACGGGAGGCAGCAGUGGGGAAUAUUGGACAAUGGGCGAAAGCCUGAUCCAGCAAUGCCGCGUGAGUGAUGAAGGCGUUAGGGUUGUAAAGCUCUUUUACCAGGGAUGAUAAUGACAGUACCUGGAGAAUAAGCUCCGGCUAACUCCGUG